GUACACUCCUGCGGGAGGCAGCAGUGGGGAAUUUUGGACAAUGGGCGAAAGCCUGAUCCAGCAAUGCCGCGUGAGUGAAGAAGGCCUUCGGGUUGUAAAGCACUUUUGUCAGGGAAGAAACGGUGAAAGCUAAUAUCUUUUGCUAAUGACGGUACCUGAAGAAUAAGCACCGGCUAACUACGUGCCAGCAGCCGCGGUAAUACGUAGGGUGCAAGCGUUAAUCGGAAUUACUGGGCGUAAAGCGUGCGCAGGCGGUUUUGUAGGUCUGAUGUGAAAUCCCCGGGCUCAACCUGGGAAUUGCAUUGGAGACUGAAAGGCUAGAAUCUGGCAGAGGGGGGUAGAAUUCCAAGUGUAGCAGUGAAAUGCGUAGAUAUGUGGAGGAACACCGAUGGCGAAGGCAGCCCCCUGGGUCAAGAUUGACGCUCAUGCACGAAAGCGUGGGGAGCAAACAGGAUUAGAAACCCGAGUAGUCC
rnacentral:rRNA from 1 species